rnacentral:lncRNA from 1 species
GUUUAUCGAUUUAAUAGAGAUCAUGUCAUGACAAUAAACACUAAAAAUCUUAAACUCACAAAUCUACUACUAAAAGCUUCAGACACUCCGGACGUUGACCCUAAAGCUUUUGAGCAAACACCAAUGAAACCUAGCAGCCAUCAGAAGCUCCCAUCAUUGCGCUCAUCAAUGCUAAGAGGCUCCUGAUGACGAUGACUAAGGUGAUGCUGGCGAAGCUUCGUCGAAGAUGAUAGCCCCCCCAGUUGUCCAAGUUAUCCAAUGGUGCCGAUGAGGAUGAUGAUGACAGACAAACAAGCAAAACAUCCACAAUGGCAUUUGUUUUAGCUGUUCUUGACGCGACAAAUCUUGAAAGAUCUGAAUGAACAAGUUUUUCUUGAAAUGCAGAUGCAUGUCACUGUAUAUGUCAAGCAACAGAAUUAGAUCAACAGAGAUCAAUAUGGCUUGCACUCAAAAUAUCAAUGUAGCCAAUGGCGAUCAUACAAGUGACAUGUAGAACACAUAUGAAGCUACCAAUAUCUAACAAGUAAAGCCAAAGUUUAGGCUGUAAUAAGUCAACAUGAAGUUUUGAAUAAGUUCUUCUACUUAUCAUUUCUUGUUUUCUAAAAGCAACCAGAAACACAUUAAGUCAGAAACAUAAGCUCUUAAAAUAGCAAGUGAAAUCAAGCAUAUGAGGAAUAAUCUAUUGGUAUGAAACCAGUGAAACUUUAUACUGAUUCAGAAAAUUAAGUAUAUACUAUAAUAUAAAUAAAACAUGCAGUAGAUUUGUUGAUAAUAGAUUUAUGCUCGCUCUACUUUGUAUAAAAACUGACUUCCAUCACGAUCUACCAUGUAUAUAACAAGGAACGUUUAGGCUGUAACAAGCCAACAUGGAGUUUUCAAUGAGUUAUCCUAUUUUUCAUUUCUUGUUCUCUAAGAGCAACCAGAAAGACCUCAAGUCAUAAACAAAAGUUAUUAACAUAGCAAGUGAAAUCAAACAAAUAGAGGAAUACUCUAUUUGUAUGAAAUCAGUGAAACUUUAUACAGAUUUAGAAAAUUAAUGUAUACACUAUAAUAUUGAUAAAACAUACAGCAGAUUUGUUGAUAAUAGAUUUAUUAUGCUCGCUCGACUUUGCAUAAAUAUUGGCUUCAUCACAAUCUACCAUAUAUCUAACAAGGAAAGCCAAAGUUUAGGCUGUAAUAAGCCAACAUGGAGUUUCCAAUGAGUUGUCCUUUUUCUCAUUUCUUGUCUUCUAAGAGCAACCAGAAAAGACCUCAAGGCAUAAAAACAAACUCUUAAAAUAGAAAAUGAAACCAAGGAAUACUCUAUUGGUACAAAACCGGUGAAACUUUUUACUUAUUUAGAAAAUUUAAGUAUAAACUAUAAUAUUGGUAAAACAUAGAGUAGACUUGUUGAUCACAGAUUUAUUCUCAUUCUAAUUUGCAUAAAAACAGUUUUCACCUCAAUUUAUCAUAAUCAGCCAAAGUUUAGGCCGUAAUAAGCCAACAUGAAAAAAACAAUCCAACAUGAAGUUUUCAACGAGUUCUUCUAUUUUUCAUUUCUUGUAUUGUAAGAGCAACCAGAGAAAUAAAUCAUAACAAUAUAUUUAUGCUCACUCUACUUUGCUUAAGGACUUCAUGUAUGAAAAUCUAACACUAACCACUGACAAUUAUUAGAAAAGAACACUACAUUUGUUGUAAACUUAGUCACCUGGAGUGGGUUCAAUUGACCAUCUCCAGCGGUUUAGCUCUAUGAAGGUCCAUGUUUCCAUUAAUCCAAAAGACCAUUUCUUCGUUCUGGAACAUAUGAACCUUCACAUGCAGAAACCCUCGGUUCUAGCUUAAGACUGGAUCUACUAUUUUGACCUCAGACCGAUCACAAGAGAACCAAUCAAUACUAUCCCAAGGCAAAAUGAAAUCAUAAAUUGGUAGCAACCAUGAAAGCAGAAUUCAACUGAACUUAAUCCCGACGAUCUCCAUUGCCGAAACCUUAACAGAGAAAUCCAAAUACCAAUAGUCAAAUUAAAACCAAACUACCAAAGAGAUAAGCUACAAAUCCUAUAAGCCCAUAAGUCCAGGAGAAACAAAAUAGAGGCAGAAAAAGGCGCUAGAUCUCGGCCAGCGUAAACGCGAGUUUGAUGAGGAAGAGGAGCGGCAGACCGACCUGAGAGAGAGACCUUC